GAAUUAGAUUCCAAAUUGGAACAAAGCGUUCCCACUGGCUAUUUGACCACGACUGUAGAACAAGUGCCCUUGUGUGACGUUCUUUACGGGGCAGGGAUGAGAUAGUGACCGUUUGGGUCUUCAGGUCACCAGGGAGAGUGGUUUGUUGGAAUCCUGAGUGAGAAGCUUCAGUGCUGGAAACCAAAAAAAUUAAUUCCUUUCGAUGUUGGCGUGGCCUGGUUGCCAGGCUCUCAGGGUAUCUUUGUUAGUAAAAAAUCUUGCAUUGUCAUCAUUUUUGUUACCAUAUUUGAACUUUGGUGUAUUGCUGCUCUUGGUGUUAAUAUAUUAUAAAAGAGGGAGACAAGAUUCUAGGCCAGUUCUCAUCAGCCAUUGUGUAGCUGGGGAUGAGAGAGAAGAGCCAGUUUGAGCGUGUGCAACUGACGCUGGGAAUUUCCAUCAUACGUGUAUUUAUUCUAUUUAUUUGGAUCUUUGAUUAUCCUUACUGUCUUAAUGGCUCAUGGUUAUUUCACAUAUGUCAACCUUGUACUGCUCAAGAGACAAAAAACUUCCUGAGAGCAGAGCUGAAAUCUUUGGUUCUCUUGUAUUUCUCAAAAUGCCUAGCACUUUGUAUGGGAAAGAAUUGAUUCUCAGGAUGCACUUGUUGACUUGAAUCAAAUGUCUGUGAAAACAGGAGAGAGCCAUUGCCAUGAAUAAUCAAAACCCUAGGGUUAUUCAAAGCCCUCAUUUCAGCUCUUAAAUUUAGCUCUCUUUUCCCUCAAGCCUUUUAUCAUAAAUACCAUGAGGGGGAAGGAAAGAGGAUUAUGAUUUCAUCUCUAUUUGCCUCUCCUACCCUCCUGCUGGUACUGAAAUGAUCAAGAGAGUAGAAAAAUGCCCAAAAACCAACAGAAGGAAAGAGAUGCAAACGGCUCAGAGAACCAUGCAUGGGAGGCUUUGCCUAGAAUGACUGAGACAGACUGUCAUCUUGUAAGCUACUACCUGUUUUUGGUUUGGUGAUGAUUUUGUACCCAUUAGUGUGUGCGGUUUUGCAUUUGUGUACUUUGCGGUUUCAGGUGGAACUCGAAGUCUAUUCUUUCAAGGACAGAAGGGAAUUCCUAACAGUGCGCUGACAGUAAAGUUCAUGACAAAGAACAUCUGCAUGCUAUUACUAUCGAUUUGGGUAUUCUUGGAUAUUUUUAUCCUUUUUUUCCCAAAACAAAUUAUUUUCACUGAAUACCAAAUGUUCUGUUUCUACUCAAAUUAUAAAUCAUGAUAUGAAUCUAUUAGAGAAUGAUAUGGCCUAAAGAUGUCCUACCGAUUGUCAGGAUUUUCUAGAUUUGCAUAUAGUUGCUGGUAGCACUGUAAGCAGUGCUUAGUGGACUUUAGCUAAGACAGUGGCCAUGCCAUAGAAAUCCCAGGGGGAAGCUGAGGUUGAGCCAGGUGGGUAAAGGGAGAGCCAGAAUGUUUCUGAAACUGCUCAUUCAUUCCUUCAUCCACCGUUUAUGAAAUACCUCUUGCAGUCCAGGCAUUGUAAUUGGUGCUGAGAAUAUAGUGAUGAGGACAAUGGAAUCUAUGCCCUCAAGGAGCGGGGGCUUCUCAGGAAAGAGAGACUCUGGUAACAGAGCAUGUUCAGGGCUAUGGCAAGGAUACCCCAGAGAGCCUAGGCCCUGUACCAGCCAACCUAGUGGAGUUGAUGGGGGCAUGGAGGGGUAUUGGGACAAGUUUCUGAGGAAGACAUUUGACCCACUUUUGAUUUGUUCUUUAGGCAAAAAGUAGAAAAGGGUGUUUCAGUGACACAGAUAGAAACCAGGAUUUGUAAAGACAAUAUCUGAGUAAGAUAUGUUUUCCAAAAUGCAAAAAUGAUACAAAAUUAAACCUUCCUUAAUUGAUAUCUUAGAACAUUGAUUAUUGAGGCACAUUAGAGGGGGUGCUAGGCUGAACUGCUCAAAAGAAUGAACUCUGAUAUUGUUUUCCAUACUCAAUAAUUAGCACUAUUGCCUGGUACAGAACAGAGGCUAAGUUCGUGUUUGCGGGAGAAUCAGUUAACUCUUAAAUUUUUAUUUCCUUGGUCCCUUUUUAACACUAAACAAUUAGUAGUAGAAGAAAAUGUAAUUGUAGUUUGUAAUUUAAUGGCUAUCUUGGAUAUAAGGAUGAUCUUUUUACAGUCUCUAGUUAAGUUUACUCUGCAUUGAAAAAGCCUAUUUUUUCUUUGUAUACAAAUCAGCAUGAUUCUUCUAAAGUGAAAAAUAAUUUUGCUAAGUGAUCCACUGCCUCGCUGACCCAAUGGAAGAAAGCAGUGGUUUCUGUUUUUGAGAAUUAGAAUUUUAAAAUAGGAGGAGCCCACAGGCUGUGGGUACCCUUUUUGCCACACUCAGAAGUAGGGCACGCGUUUCUUGCUUUUCAGACUUCUUACCUUCCCACACAAAGAAACCACAAACGGGGAAUUAGGACGGAAAGAGUCAAGCGGCGUGGGCUCAUCUUCCUCAGCAGGGCCAUCUAAGAGGGCAUACCACUUUCCAAAAGAACUGAGCUGAGACCCCAAAUCUGAAAAACCAUCCUAGCUGCACGUCUAUACCAUUUACCACGGGCUGGUAACUUGUGCGGUGUUCUGUGAGAAUGAGUUCACUCAAUGUCCACACAACGGCCUUUUGAGAGGGAGGCUAUGAUCAUCCUUAUUUUACAAAUGGGGACUUUGGUUAAGAAUUUGCUCAGGGUCACCAGCUUGUAGGUGCCAGCACUGUGGCUUGAGUCCUGGUGAUCUGGGGGGCAGGUCCCAUGCAGACUCAUGUUGUUUUCACCCACUGCCUCCCUCCCUCCAUUCUGAGGAGGGCAAAAUGCCACACAAUGGAUGACACAGUCACAUUAUAAUGAUGCUGAGAUGCUUUGUGGUUAAAAGCAACAUAAAAAGAUAUAAGGCUAUGCUUUCAGUUUAAAACAACUUUAAAUGUUAGAAUCAGGAUUAGAAUAGUUAUUGUUUUUCUCAACAGUUUCCAAGAUAUAAAUUUUGAGGCCCAGAAUUUUUAGGAGUAUUUUAAGACUCCAAAGAUAAGAAUCCUUAAGAACUAACUGUGGAAUGAGAAACACUGCCAAAUGGAGGCUGGGCACGGUCGCUCACACAUAAUCCCGGCACUUUGGGAGGCAAAGGUGGAUCACUUGAGCUCAGGAGUUCAAGACCAGCCUGAGCAACACAGUGAGAUCUCAUAUCUACAAAACAUCCGGAAAAUUAGCUGGGCGUCGUGACAUGUUCCUGUGGUACUAGCUCCUUGGAAGGCUGAGGUCGGGGUAUUGCUUAAGCCUGGAAGGUGAAGGCUGCUGCAGUGAGCCAUGAUAGCGCCACUGCACUCCAGCCUGGGCAACAGAGCAAGACCCUGUCUCAAAAAAAAAAAAAAAAAAAAAGAGUCUUUUUAUUUUUUCACCAUCUAGAAUAGUUUGAAAGAAUGCUGGAGACUUCUGUUUUUUAAAGGUUUCAUAGAAUUCUCUUGUGAAGCUAUCUGAACUCACUGCUCUGGGGAGGUAUUAGCACUUUAACAAUUCUAUUUCUUCUAGAGUAAUUGGUCUACUUAGAAUUCCUAAAUUUUUUGAUGAAAGUUUUGGUGAUUUAUCUUUUCUAGAAAAUAAUUUCACCUACUCAGAUUCUUAGAGUUACAGAGAAUUCAGUAAAGUGAUCUCUUAUGAGUCCUAAAAUUUCUCCCUUUAUCAUGUCUUACAGUGUUUAUUUGUGUAUUUUUUAUUUGUUAAAAUUAGGUUAGAAAAUAAUUAACUUAUAUAUUUAUAUAUUCAGUUAUUUAUAGCUCUUGGAUUUAUCAUUACUAUCAUUUUUUAGUUUCCUAAUUAAUUUCACAUUUUAUGCUUAC
ensembl:lncRNA LINC00299 long intergenic non-protein coding RNA 299